rnacentral:rRNA from 1 species
UAAAUCAUUUUUAAUUGUUUAAGUAGGUGUGACCGAAUUGAACGAUAUUUCAGCGAUAGAUGAUUGAUAGUAACGUGAGUGAAGGUAUGUUAUAUCAGUGGAGUAGCAGCGAUUGGCGCGCUGUACCUUUUGCAUCAUGGCUCUACUACUUUUUAUUCUUAUGAGGUAGCCCGAAAGUUGGGUGAUCUACUUCCUUGCUAUGGGUUGGUGUUGUAGUACCAUCCAGAGACGGGGAGAUAGUGGCGAAAUACUUUUCGCAUUGGCUGGUAGCUGGUUGUUUUGGAAAUAUAUAGAAGUAUAGCCCUAUUUUGGGACGGAUUCUACAAAUAUAGUUUAUUUUGAGUUACAAGAUUCUGUUCUCUUUUAGGAGAUGGUUCCUCCAGGCUAAGCUGGGGGGGCGCUUGAAAAGGAUAAUUGUUGAAGUUUUAGGUUUACAAGUAGGUUUUAAGGAGCCACCUUUAUGGAGUGGGUUACACCACAUAUGAGCCUUUAUUUUAAAUUAUAAUUUAUUUAUCUUUUAGUUGUACGGGACCUUCCCACGAAACUACGAUAGUGGGAGCGUUAAUGUAGAGAUGAGUAGUCGAGAUAGUUGUAAUUAUUUUUUAUUUCAGGGAAAAAAAUAAUAACAUAAGAAUGCGUAUUGGUAAACAAACCUUAAGGAACUCGGCAAAAGAGAGGACCGCCUGUUUAGCAAAAACAUGGCUUUCUGUGCAACAUAGGGGGUCGUGCCUUCCCGGUGGGUAUACGAGCCUAAACGGACGCGGUAAAUCGUGCUAAGGUAGCUAAAUUAUGGCCCAUUAAUUGUGGGUCCUGUGAAUGGUUUGACGAGUCCUCGACUGUCUCAAGGUUGUUUUGGUGAACUUGAAUUGAACGUGCAAAUGCUUUCAUGAGAAAGAAAGACGAGAAGACCCCGUGAAGUUAGAAAUUCCUAUUAUAGCGUGAAUCCACAUUGAUUGGUGUCAGCGUUAGGUAACCAUGGGGUCCCGAAACCUUCGGGUUGAAGGUUCCUGGGCCCCAUGGUUACCAAGCAGAGGAAUAUAGUUUUGAUGAGUUUUGGCUGGGGCAGCAAAGAGGCAAAACAAGACCUUUUUAGUCACAAUACGGAUGCGUUACGAUCCACAGAAAAAAAAGUUGUGAUUAACAGAAGGAGUUACUCCGGGGAUAACAGCGUAAUCUUCCUUGAUAGUUCUUAUAGAUGGGGGGGUUUGCGACCUCGAUGUUGGCUCUGGGUAUCCUGAGGCUUGCAGGCGGUCUCAAGGGUUGGUUCGUUCGCCCAUUAAAACCCGACGUGAGCUGAGUUCAGAUCGGCGAAAGCUAGGUCGGUUUCUAUCUUCUUUCCUUUAAAUUUAGGCGCUAGGGUACGAAAGGACAUUCCGUUUCAGGAUUCAAUCCUGUUGGCAUUGAAUUUAAAAUAA